CCUACGGGUGGCUGCAGUGGGGAAUAUUGCACAAUGGGCGCAAGCCUGAUGCAGCCAUGCCGCGUGUGUGAAGAAGGCCUUCGGGUUGUAAAGCACUUUCAGCGGGGAGGAAGGCGGUGAGGUUAAUAACCUCAUCGAUUGACGUUACCCGCAGAAGAAGCACCGGCUAACUCCGUGCCAGCAGCCGCGGUAAUACGGAGGGUGCAAGCGUUAAUCGGAAUUACUGGGCGUAAAGCGCACGCAGGCGGUCUGUCAAGUCGGAUGUGAAAUCCCCGGGCUCAACCUGGGAACUGCAUUCGAAACUGGCAGGCUAGAGUCUUGUAGAGGGGGGUAGAAUUCCAGGGGUAGCGGUGAAAUGCGUAGAGAUCUGGAGGAAUACCGGGGGCGAAGGCGGCCCCCUGGACAAAGACUGACGCUCAGGUGCGAAAGCGUGGGGAGCAAACAGGAUUAGAUACCCCGGUAGUC
rnacentral:rRNA from 1 species